rnacentral:rRNA from 1 species
UACGGGGGGAGCAAGCGUUGUUCGGAUUUACUGGGCGUAAAGGGCGCGUAGGCGGCGCAACAAGUCACUUGUGAAAUCUCCGGGCUUAACCCGGAGCGGUCAAGUGAUACUGUCGUGCUAGAGUGCGGAAGGGGCUACUGGAAUUCUCGGUGUAGCGGUGAAAUGCGUAGAUAUCGAGAGGAACACCUGCGGCGAAGGCGGGUUGCUGGGCUGACACUGACGCUGAGGCGCGAAAGACGUGGGGAGCAAACAGG